GGGCAUAUGGUUUAAUGGUAUAAUACUCCCUUAGCAUGGGAGAGGUCCGGGGUUCGAUUCCCCGUUUGUCCA
rnacentral:tRNA from 3 species